rnacentral:rRNA from 1 species
UACGUAGGGGGCUAGCGUUGUCCGGAAUUAUUGGGCGUAAAGGGCUCGUAGGCGGUCUGUUGCGUCGGGAGUGAAAACUCAGGGCUUAACCCUGAGCCUGCUUCCGAUACGGGCAGACUAGAGGUAUGCAGGGGAGAACGGAAUUCCUGGUGUAGCGGUGAAAUGCGCAGAUAUCAGGAGGAACACCAAUAGCGAAGGCAGCGCGCGGGGACGGUACUGAUGCUAAGGCGCGAAAGCGUGGGGAGCGAACAGG